GGAAGGGCUAUAGCUCAGUGGCAGAGCGUCUGAUUUGCAUGUAGAAGGUUGCAGGUUCAAUCCCUGGCCUCUCCA
rnacentral:tRNA from 1 species